rnacentral:lncRNA from 1 species
ACCGCGGUCAUCCUCCCCACCGAACAGCUCCAGGGACCGUGAUGUGCUCCUCUUUGUCCGCGUCUCCCCUGGACACUGACCACCAUUGCCGUUGUCUGGAGCUCGUUGCUCUGCUUUGCUCUGUCCAACCUCGCCACUAACAGCAGGGUGAGAAACUGCCUCUGCACAUUAUUGGCUGCGUGCUGCUGAUGUUGUUUGCUGCUUGCUGCCGCUGGCUACUUUGAUGUUGUCGAUGCUUUGCAGCUGGCUGCUUGUUGCUUGCUGCUGUGCCGUGACCUGCAUGUAGAUGAGAGAAAGUGAGAUUGAGUUGCUAUGAAGAAAGAUGGCCAUAUUCAGUACUGUUUAAUUUAGUUGCUUGUCACACUUUCGGACUAAGGCUAGACUUCCCCAUGUUAUAUAAGUUUUCACUCAAACAUUUUAUUUAUCAGGAAAAUCAUAGAAAAAUGCUCAACCUGCUGAACUUUCAAAUCUAUAACAAAAUCAUUUUAGUUCGAUUUGGAAUACUGAUAUGGAGUUGGAUGGUUUAACCUGUACUUUAGGAACAAACAUAUAUAAGCUUAGUCAGUAUUAUUGCAUAGAAAUAAAAGAUGAUGUACUUUAACAAAAUGUCUUUAAAUGUUUAAAAAUUCAUAACUUGUGUUCUAGGACUCCAGGAAUAUGUUAUUGCCAAUUUCAAUAGCUUCAUUUUGAACUUUCUGCAGGACAUCGCAUACAAUGCUCUGUACACAUUUUGGAAAUUCAUGAACAUUGAUCUUCCUCCGUUUGGUUCAUUUCCGGGGUUUCUUCCUCGUUUCAGUAGAGUCUGGCAACGAGGGGUAUUAUGAGUUUGAUACACAGCUUCUUCAGGACAUUGACCAACAAGGCAAGCAUCUUCUUGUUGACCCUAUCUUAUGUUUUACUUAUGUCGAAGGAUUAUACUACUCCCAAAGUCCCAUAUAAGGUCGUUUUCAAGCUACGUUAGAUUGAAAACCGUUCUUGUAUUAUGGGACAGCGGGAGUAUCUUGUUGUCGGUGUUGGUUACCAUCUCCUACCUUCCUUUGCAGUAUCCAUGUUUAGCUUUUUUGACAUUGCUAGGAGUUGCUUGCUGUUCAUGAUCAGCGCGUCAUCUUAAAAUGGUACAAUUAUGAUAACUUCAGACUAUAUUAACAAAAUUCAAACUAAAAGAGAUCCACGCAUACUUGCAGAAAAGAGGGUUGGGGCAAUACAAUUAUACUGGUAGAAAUAUAAAUUCAAGUGCUUGAUUGUAAUUUCAUAUGAAAUUGCAAAUUCAUGAGGUGUCACCGGAGCAAAACCUAAACACUAAACUGAAUCCUGCGACCAACGAUAAGAAUGCCGAACCAAAAAAUAAUGUAUUUCUAAUGAUAUCAGAACUUUCAUAUGACUGCAAAAUGAAAGAUAGAUAUAAUGGAUAAUUUACUGGUAAAUAUCAACUGUUUAAAAAAAAAAUCCUUGGUUAUUAGUUUCCAACUAAAUGGAAGAUACAUGACAGAAAUAUAUCAUGAAUGAAAAAACUGUAAUUAGCUAUGCUGUUGUUAUUCUAUUUUAAAGGAGAAGCAAAAGAAAAACACGGAGUGAUUACAGAUGCAGAUUGAUUACCUGAUGGGUAAUAUAAUGUCCACCUCUUCACAGAAGAAUGAUGUCAAUUCUUUUAGUUUCAGAUACUCCUACGGUUGAUUCAGUAUCCUGUAGCGUACAAUGUAAAGCAUAAAAACCAUGGAGAAAAUGGUAUUCGAGGGUAGGAAUUUGUUGAACAGAGAAUCAAAAUAUACGAGAGUGUAGUAGCUUAACUAUUUCAUCAAACAGCGAAAACGAUUCUUUACCCCUGACACACAGUUCUUUCAUGCUUUCUCCGAUAAAGAGAAUAACUAACAAUUUAAGCAUGUUAUAUUUAUCGACCAUAUAUGGAGUUGCACAACAGCUACAGCUUACAGCAAAAACGAUUCAUCAAAUAGCAAAAACGAUUCUCUGUGUUAUAUUUAUACAGCAGAUCACACGGACACAUGGAGUUGCACAAGAGCUACAGCUUACAUACAAAACUACUGGCACCAAAAGCAUGGUCGAUAAAUAUGUAAAUACUGCCGUAAAGCAGUUUUAUAACAAAACAAAUAUUAAUAACUCCAUACCUAAGUAAAGUCACUCUAUAUGUAUCA